UACAGAGGUCUCAAGCGUUGUUCGGAUUCAUUGGGCGUAAAGGGUGCGUAGGCGGCGCGGUAAGUCGGGUGUGAAAUCUCGGAGCUUAACUCCGAAACUGCAUUCGAUACUGUCGGGCUAGAGUCCGGAAGAGGCGAGUGGAAUUCCCGGUGUAGCGGUGAAAUGCGCAGAUAUCGGGAGGAACACCAAUGGCGAAGGCAGCUCGCUGGGACGGUACUGACGCUGAGGCGCGAAAGCGUGGGGAGCAAACAGG
rnacentral:rRNA from 1 species